GGAGAGAUGACUCAGCAGCUAAGAGUACUGGCUGCUCUUCCAGAGGACCAGGGUUCAAUUCCCAGCAUCCCCA
rfam:Cricetulus griseus cell line CHO-K1, whole genome shotgun sequence.